UAAUUGAAGAGUUUGAUCAUGGCUCAGAUUGAACGCUGGCGGCAGGCCUAACACAUGCAAGUCGGGCGGUAACAGGGAGAAGCUUGCUUCUCUGCUGACGAGCGGCGGACGGGUGAGUAAUGUAUGGGGAUCUGCCUGAUGGCGGGGGAUAACUACUGGAAACGGUAGCUAAUACCGCAUAAUGUCUUCGGACCAAAGCGGGGGACCUCCGGGCCUCGCGCCAUCAGAUGAACCCAUAUGGGAUUAGCUAGUAGGUAAGGUAACGGCUUACCUAGGCGACGAUCCCUAGCUGGUCUGAGAGGAUGAUCAGCCACACUGGGACUGAGACACGGCCCAGACUCCUACGGGAGGCAGCAGUGGGGAAUAUUGCACAAUGGGCGCAAGCCUGAUGCAGCCAUGCCGCGUGUAUGAAGAAGGCCUUCGGGUUGUAAAGUACUUUCAGUCGGGAGGAAGGUGUCAAGGUUAAUAACCUUG
rnacentral:rRNA from 1 species